rnacentral:lncRNA from 1 species
GUCCUAUAUAGCUCAGUCACUUAAGCUCCCUUCUGAGCACUGUUCUAUCAAUAUCUCUUUUAGCUCAGAUCCACUAUCACUCAUCCUGAAAGAUCACUCUUGUCCAACCCCUCCUUCAACUGCUCUCUUGAUCUCUGCAGCUCUGCCAUUCUGUAGUAGAUAGUAUUUAUCCUAUUCUCCAGAAGACCAGCUUUCUACCUAGCUGUCCCAUAAAAUUGACCAUUGUGUAUUUUCUAUGUCACCCAACUCUGUUAAGAAACAGAAAUUUUAUCUUUGAGCCAAAGGAUUGCCUUUCUUUUUGGGCUAUCUUGUAUUUUCAGUCCCCCAAAUCUCUCAGAAUACUAUGAAAACUUUGCUUUCUGUCAUCAUUAAAUACUUAUUAUCAGAAUAAUAUGCUUCAUCUUUUCCAGCACUUGGAUGGUACAUCUCUUACUAAUGUUAGCAUAACCUGACAAGUGUUUCAAGUUUAGAGGAGUAUUUUCUACCUUUCCCUGAUUCUCUUUCAGACCUCAUUUUUCUCCAAAGUAACUGUGCCAGGUUGCUGAAAUUAACCUGAGGCUGCUCUGCAAAUGAUCUCCAAAAGGACAGGGAAGGGAUAGAAGGAACUGUUCAGGAAAAGGCAUAUCUUGUCGUCUCUGCUAAGUUAAUGUGUAACAGAUUUGGAGACUGUCUGUCAGUGGUGAAAGUAAAUUCAGAAUUACCUCAUCAAACUCCCUCAUUUUACUGAAGAAACUAAGGCCCAAAGAUUUUCCCUGUCUCUUCAAUCUAGAAAAUGUUUCAGAGACAGGAAGACUAUCAUUUCUCUCAAUGCCAGAAAAAGACUAUGUGGGAAAAAUAUUUCUGGACAAUCAUAAAGUUUCAAGUUGAUCCCCCUCCUUAUCUAUAAGAUAUAAGAAAACCUACAAUGAACAGAAGAAUCAGGUCAGUAGCUCCUAAAAGCAAAAUAUAAUUAACUUAAUUUAUUCACAUUACAAAGUAAAAAGUAUUUAAGAUUAAUUUUAAUUAAACAC